UGCCAGCCGCCGCGGUAAUACGGAGGGGGCUAGCGUUGUUCGGAAUUACUGGGCGUAGAGCGCACGUAGGCGGACUGUUAAGUCAGGGGUGAAAUCCCGGGGCUCAACCCCGGAACUGCCUCUGAUACUGGUAGUCUUGAGUUCGAGAGAGGUGAGUGGAAUUCCGAGUGUAGAGGUGAAAUUCGUAGAUAUUCGGAGGAACACCAGUGGCGAAGGCGCCAUCCUGGGCUAAGACUGACGCUGAGGUACGAAAGCGUGGGGAGCAAACAGGAUUAGAUA
rnacentral:rRNA from 1 species